rnacentral:piRNA from 1 species
UAACGAUACAGCCUUACAUGU